UUUCCGUAGGUGAACCUGCGGAAGGAUCAUUAUUGAGUUCAUGCCCUUACGGGUAGAUCUCCACCCUAUGUUAUCGUUACCUUUGUUGCUUUGGCGGGCCGUCAGGCCUCGGUCAGACUACCGGCUCCGGCUGGUAAGUGCCCGCCAGAGGAUAUCAAACCUUGAAUUUAAUGUCGUCUGAGUACUAUAUAAUAGUUAAAACUUUCAACAACGGAUCUCUUGGUUCUG
rnacentral:misc_RNA from 1 species